rnacentral:rRNA from 1 species
CCUACGGGAGGCAGCAGUGAGGAAUAUUGGUCAAUGGACGAGAGUCUGAACCAGCCAAGUAGCGUGAAGGAUGACUGCCCUAUGGGUUGUAAACUUCUUUUAUAUGGGAAUAAAAUGUUCCACGUGUGGGAUUUUGUAUGUACCAUAUGAAUAAGGAUCGGCUAACUCCGUGCCAGCAGCCGCGGUAAUACGGAGGAUCCGAGCGUUAUCCGGAUUUAUUGGGUUUAAAGGGAGCGUAGGUGGAUUGUUAAGUCAGUUGUGAAAGUUUGCGGCUCAACCGUAAAAUUGCAGUUGAAACUGGCAGUCUUGAGUACAGGAGAGGUGGGCGGAAUUCGUGGUGUAGCGGUGAAAGGCUUAGAUAUCACGAAGAACUCCGAUUGCGAAGGCAGCUCACUGGACUGCAACUGACACUGAGGCUCGAAAGUGUGGGUAUCAAACAGGAUUAGAUACCCUGGUAGUC